rnacentral:rRNA from 1 species
GCUAUGNNGGGGNGCUAUACAUGCAAGUCGAACGCUGAUUAUCGAAGGCUUGCUUUUGAUAUGAUGAGUGGCGAAUGGGCGAGUAACACGUGGGAAACCUACCUCUUAGCAGGGGAUAACAUUUGGAAACAGAUGCUAAUACCGUAUAACAGUUAAAACCGCAUGGUUUUAAUUUAAAAGAUGGUUCUGCUAUCACUAAGAGAUGGUCCCGCGGUGCAUUAGCUAGAUGGUGAGGUAACGGCUCACCAUGGCGAUGAUGCAUAGCCGAGUUGAGAGACUGAUCGGCCACAAUGGGACUGAGACACGGCCCAUACUCCUACGGGAGGCAGCAGUAGGGAAUCUUCCACAAUGGGCGCAAGCCUGAUGGAGCAACGCCGCGUGUGUGAUGAAGGGUUUCGGCUCGUAAAGCACUGUUGUAAGAGAAGAAUGACAUUGAGAGUAACUGUUCAGUGUGUGACGGUAUCUUACCAGAAAGGGACGGCUAAAUACGUGCCAGCAGCCGCGGUAAUACGUAUGUCCCAAGCGUUAUCCGGAUUUAUUGGGCGUAAAGCGAGCGCAGACGGUUAUUUAAGUCUGAAGUGAAAGCCCUCAGCUCAACUGAGGAAUUGCUUUGGAAACUGGAUGACUUGAGUGCAGUAGAGGAAAGUGGAACUCCAUGUGUAGCGGUGGAAUGCGUAGAUAUAUGGAAGAACACCAGUGGCGAAGGCGGCUUUCUGGACUGUAACUGACGUUGAGGCUCGAAAGUGUGGGUAGCAAACAGGAUUAGAUACCCUGGUAGUCCACACCGUAAACGAUGAGUGCUAGAUGUUUGGGGGUUUCCGCCCCUAAGUGUCGCAGCUAACGCAUUAAGCACUCCGCCUGGGGAGUACGACCGCAAGGUUGAAACUCAAAGGAAUUGACGGGGACCCGCACAAGCGGUGGAGCAUGUGGUUUAAUUCGAAGCAAC